CAUGAAUUUUCUUGUCCCGCGGAUCCAAGAUGGCGACGUAUCCACCGCGGAGGCUGCUGGGAGCAAGACCUUUACCCCCUGACCCCCGCCGUGACCCCCGUCGCUCUGGCUUCCCUUAAGGCGGCAGUGGAAGGUGGGUGCGGCGAUUGCGGAUCGAACACAGGGCUGGGGAUCCUGCAUCCUCCGGUGCCGUGUCUGUACUUCAGGAGACCCGCAACACGUCACCGUCGCCUUCUGAGAAGUGAGUUUCCCUCUGCCGAGAUCAUUGGUGCCUACUUGCUCCCCCUUCCUUUUAUUUUUUAUUUUAACCUGGUAGUAGGAAGUAUUAAGGGAGCAGGUUUUUAACACACUGUGGUGCGAACUGACUUCAGCCGAAUCACCUUUACAGCAGUUUGCCUAGCUCCCACCCCCAGUCUCCUGUUAAGCCUGAGUUACCCGCUGUGCCACCAGAGAUCGUUUGAAAUUGUGAUGACUUUGGUGGAAACUUGGAGUGGAGAAGGAGUGAAGUCUGCUUUCCACGAACGUACCUGUCAUUGAAAGUGAAACGAAACUUGUUUUCUUUGCGCAACUGGGAAUUCAAGACCAAGGUGCUGCCAGAUUCCUUGUCUAGUGAAGACCUCAUGAAACCAUCCAAAUGUCUCUAUGGGAGGAAGGGACAGAAAGACAAAAGAGGGACAAACUCUUUGCUCACAUACAAAAGUAAAGGGUCAAGAAAGUACUUCCUUCAACCUUGAGUCAUUUUGUAAGGGUACUAAUCACCUCCCAAAGAGUCUCCUCUCUUAAUACUGUGGCGUCUGUGCUUGAGUUUCAACAUACGGAUAGAAAUACAGAAAUUAAAACGGGUCUCACUGUGUAGUUCAGGCUGGCCUUGAACUCACCAUGCAGCCCGGGCUGGCCUCGAACACGUGGUGCUCCUCCUGCCUCAGCCUCCCUCUGAAGUGCUGAGAUUACAGGCAUGCACCACCAUGCCCUAUUUAACUUUUAAUUCUUUUUUUUAAACUCUUAAUUAGCUUGAUUUUACACAUAAACACAAAUCAUUUAAUGUCUGAAUGCUUACAAAUGUUCUUCCAUCUCUAUCUCCUCCUGCCUUCUGUACCUCUUUCAGCUACUAUUCUCACUUUAUAUUGUCUCAUGUCUCUGCUAAAUCAGAUUCCAAUAGCCCUGCCUAAGAAAUCAUGAAUUAAAACAUAGUAAGUGAUCAUUAAUUUUGUUUGUCAACUUGAUAGGAUUGAGUAACCCUUGAAAAUUGAUAAAGCACAUUUCUGGAUGUGUCUGUGAGGUUAUUUCCAGAGAAGGUUGGUAUAUGGAACAGCAAACUGAGUGAGAGAGAUCCACCUGGAAUGUGGGCAGAACCAUUCCUUAGGCUUGGGUCCAGAAAUGCAUGCUUGUGUUCAGCCCUUCUUGAGUGGAUGUCUUUUUGUUAAUGCUAUCACCUGUGGACAUCAGGAUGCAGAUUUUUCAGUCUUUGUAUGUGAACUUGAACCUAUGGUUCUCCUAACGCUAACCCUAACCCUAACUCUAAAUGGAUUAUCUAUCUCUGGAUUAAUGGGUUAAUAAAUUACUGGAAUGUUAGAGUAGGUGUGGCUUUGUUAUAAAUGCAAGCUAGCAAGCUUAUUCUGUCUUGCUCCUGUGCCAGCCACCUUGAGACUGCAGAGAAUUUUCACCAGAAAGAAAGUUUUUAUGAGAUGUGACCCCUCAACCUUGAACUUCCAGCCUCCAGAAGUAUGAGAAAUAAAUUUCUUUUUUAAAAAAUGUUACCUAGACUGUGGUAUUCAAUCAUAGCCACAAAAAAUGGACUAAGACACAUGAAAAAAACAACUGUAGGAUAGUAAAAAGAAGACUGCCAAGAUUGGAUAUAGUCUUAGAUUCAAAAUAAGGUUCUCUUAUCUAGACUUUAGACUAACAGAUAAAAUUCAAGGUAUCUAGUUAAAUUUGAAUUUCAUUAAACAGUGAUUUUUAUUAUAAAUAUGCCACAUAAGUAUGGAACAUGCACUAAAAUUUUCAUUUUUUCUUUUUAAAUCAAAUUCAAAUUUAACAAGGGAUCCUUUUUCUAAACCUUGAAACUUUAUUUUAGAUAAGUAUUUUUGUUAUGUAUAGUUUAUCAAAUACAUCCUCUUAAAAAAACUUUUUUGGUCUUACUCUGUUCUUCUAGGAGCUGACUCUUAUAAUUGUUGUUUCCUGUACCUUCUUGACAGUGACUUUUUCUUGUUGAAUCCAGAAAGUGGAAGGAAAGGGAAGAAUUGACAGUAGGAAAAAAGAUAGAGGCCAGAUUUUCUUCCUACCUUGUCAUGCCUACUGAAGCAUCUCUGCUAGUGGAAAUAUCUCUCUAUAAGUAUAGUGCAUGCAUGACAUUUCCUCCUACAUGGCUUUAGAUUUGCAUUAAACUCUGUUUCCUUCUUGGGCCUUAGUUAGAAAAGCAAGUCUUUUUAAGUCCAUGGAACCUUAAUCAUAUUUUUGUGAAAUGAGGGAAAUAAUACCUCCCCUGCACAUUUUUUUUGGUAAGAGAUUAUGUAUGUGGCUAUCAGGAGGAAAUCUAAUAUUUCAAUUGAUAUUUAGUAUGCUGUAUCAAUAAUUCUCUCCAGCUCUUCUAUAGCUGAAUAGUGACUAUUGAAAAAAAUCUAACGUAGACAGCAACUAUAAACUCCUGACAAAAUAUAAAGGUUAACUUUCUGAAGGAAUUGGCUAAUAAUCCACAGCAGGCAUAUACUAGAGGAGAGUAACUUACUGAGAUGAAAGAAACAGGACUGGAUGAAUUUUUCAUUGUUAUAGCUUUUAAACUAAGGGCAGUCCCAAGUCUUACCAGACUGGGAGGCUUAAAAAUCCAGCAAAAAACUGAUAGCCUAACUGGCAGAAGAAUCAAGAGUUUAGGACAACUAUAGCCACUAGAAAUUGACGAAGAAAUCCUACAAAGGAGGGUUCUAAAACUGAGAACACAAAUCUAGCUAUAAGCUCUCCCCAGAUUUCCAGCUGACCCCUGAAUCAUACCUGCAUGGGGCAGGCUCCAGCAGGCCAACUAAAACUAAAAUAGUAGUACUGAAAUUUAAGUGUGUUGUCUGUUUUUUAAGAGAGAGUUUGCAAUUUGAGUCCAUUCAAAUUAAAUAUUAAAACAAAUUAGUCAGCACUUUUUAGAGACACCAUAGAAUCCAGAAUCUCUCCAAUACAUCAUUUACAUUGUCCAAAAUACAGUCCAUAGUAACUUGAUGAAAAAAUUGGGAAAAUAGGGCCAGGGAUUUAGCUCAGUGGUUUCGCCGCCUGCUAUGCAAGCGCAAAGACCCGAGUUCGAUUCCCGGUACCAAAAAAAAAAAGAAAUUGGGAAAAUGAACAAUUUUAAAAAGAGAAGAAAAUUGGUGUCAUGUGACCUUCAAAAAACUCUCAGAUGUAAAUAGCAGGUAAGAAUUUGAAUGCAACUAUUAUAAAUGUGCCCAAGGAUAUUAAAAAAUGCUCACAAUGAAUGAAAAGAUUGGAAAUCUCAGAAGAAAAUAGAAACUAUAAAAUAAAACUUCUAGAAUUGAAAAAUAUAAUAUCUGAAAUAAAAAUAUUCAUUGAAUAUGAUUAACACAGAAAGAAUAGAAUAGAAUAAAGAAUAAAUUAAGUAAGAUACAUCCAAAGAAAAACUACACCCAGCCACAUCACUGUCAAACUGCUAGAAAAUAAAGAUGAAGAGAAAAUCUUGAAAUGAUAGCCAAGGAAAAUGACAUACUUCAUACAAUUCAAAUGACUGUUGACUAUCAAUAACUAUGAGACUAGGAAACAGGCAAUAUCAAUUAAGUACUGAGAAAAAAACAAAAUUUAGAGUUCUAAACUCAACAAAAAAAACAGUAACAAAGGCAAGAAAAAGCACAUUUUCAGUUUAAAAAAAACAAGAGAAUUCAUUGCCAGCAGACCUGCACUGAAAAUUCUUAGGACAGAUAGAAAUUGAAACAGCUGAAAAUUCAGAUCUUUAGGAAAGAAGGCCUUUUCAAAUGGUAAGUCUGUGGGUAGAUAAGUACCAACUACCAACUGACAUAAAAAUAAUCAAGUUUCUUUAUGUUAUGUUACUUUAUGAUACAUAAUGUAUAUAAAUAUAUAUAAAGUAAUAUUAGAUCAGAAAUUUAAACUAGGACACCUAACUUUGAGGGCAGAUUUCAAAGUACACAGUAAUCCAGAUGGAAGUUUUUAAAAGAAAUUACCAAGAAUUUACUAGAUAACUCAACCAUAUUAUGAGCAUAAAAAGUUUGGGUUCUUGGACAAUUGAAAAGAUUUUUGAGGAUGAUUAAUAUGCUCUGACUACCAACCUUCACCAUUCAAAGAUAUUGGAGUGCUAUAUCUGGCACUUAAGUUUAGUGAAAUGGGCUUUAAUAGGACUACUUGGAUAAUUUGAUAUCUAUUCACUAUGGUGGAAGAGUGUAAGUAGGUUUACUAAUUUAUUAUUUAUUUGAGUCAGGCUUAUUGAGGCCCAAUUUAUGCAAAGUAAAGUUAACCUUUUUUAGCUGCACAGUCCUAUGAGAUUUCACAAAUAAGUUUUAACAAGUAAUACCAUAUCAUUACACCUCUCCAAAAGCUCACUGGUAUUCCUUUGUAGUCAAUAAUCUCAUUGCACUUCUAGAGGCUAUCAGUGGUUUGAUUUUUAUUCCUAUAGUUUUAUCUUUUCAGAAUAUCAUAUAAAUUGAGUCAUAGAAUAUGUGGUCUUUUGCUCACUUUGGCAGCACAUAUACCAAAAUUAGAAUAUGUAGCAUUUUGUAUCUGUCUUUCAAUUAACAUACUGCUUUUGAAAUUCAUCCAUAUUGCAUGCAUCAGUAAUUUUGAACACAAUUUGUCCACUCAUUAGCUGAAUUCUUGGAUCGUGCUAUGGUUUGAAUGUUCCUUCCAACACUGAUGUUGAAAUUCAAUUAUUGAAGUAGUAUUGAGAGGUGGAACCUCUAAGAGAUGAUGAGGUCCUAAGGGCACUCCCCAUGAAUAGAGUAAGGACAUUAGUGGGUUAGUAAUUUUAAGAGUAGGGUUAGUUAUUUUGAGAGUAGUCUCCUUGGCCCUGUUUUUCUGUCUCCUAUGUACGCACUUGCCCUUUUGCUAUAUUAUGGAACAAGAAGGCCCUCACCAUAUGUUCCCUGCAAUAUUUAGAACUAUGAGUCAAAUAAACUUCUAUAGUUUAUAA